CUUGCCACUUCUUAGGUGCCUUCACCCCAUCGAAGCUGAAUAUGCCCUUUGAGAGGUACAUGAGGGGAAUACGGAAACCAUGUGGCCGGUAAAUCACUGGCCUACAGAUUACUUCGACAGAGAUAUUAUUGGCCCAAAAUGUAAGAUGAUGCUGUCAAUUUCAUCAAAUGCUUCAAUCAAUGUUAGAAGAUCGCCAAUAUUCAGCACCUGCC
rnacentral:lncRNA from 1 species